CGAACGCUGGCGGCGUGGAUUAGGCAUGCAAGUCGAACGAGAAAAGUUUCUUCGGAAACUAAGUAGAGUGGCAAACGGGUGAGUAACGCGUGGGAAACCUGCCUUUUGAUUGGGAACAACACUCCUAACGGGGUGCUAAUACCGAAUAAGCUCAAUGUAUCGCAUGAUAUGAUGAGGAAAGAUGGCCUCUGUUUCAAGCUGUCGUCGAAAGAUGGUCCCGCGUCCCAUUAGCUUGUUGGUGAGGUAAAGGCUCACCAAGGCAUCGAUGGGUAGCCGGCCUUAGCGGGUGAUCGGCCACACUGGGACUGAGAUACGGCCCAGACUCCUACGGGAGGCAGCAGUCGAGAAGCUUCCACAAUGGGGGAAACCCUGAUGGAGCGACGCCGCGUGGGUGAUGAAGGUCUUCGGAUCGUAAAACCCUUUCAGCAGGGACGAAUGCUUGUAUGUUAAUAUCAUACGGGAGAGACGGUACCUGCAUAAGAAGCUCCGGCUAACUCC
rnacentral:rRNA from 1 species